UGAGGAAUAUUGCGCAAUGGGGGCAACCCUGACGCAGCCACGCCGCGUGGAGGAUGACACCCCUUUGGGGCGUAAACUCCUUUUGCGAGGGAAGAAGGCUCAGGUUUCCUGGGUUUGACGGUACCUUGCGAAUAAGCACCGGCUAACUCCGUGCCAGCAGCCGCGGUAAUACGGAGGGUGCAAGCGUUGUCCGGAAUCAUUGGGUGUAAAGGGUGUGUAGGCGGACGUGUAAGUCUGGGGUGAAAUCCUGCAGCUUAACUGCAGAACUGCCCUGGAUACUGCAGGUCUUGAGUCCUGGAGGGGUGACUAGAAUUCGUGGUGUAGCGGUGAAAUGCGUAGAUAUCACGAGGAAUACCAGAGGUGUAGACGGGUCACUGGACAGGUACUGACGCUGAGGCAC
rnacentral:rRNA from 1 species